rnacentral:piRNA from 1 species
UGCCAUUCACCUUCAACUCCAGAACUGG